rnacentral:rRNA from 1 species
UACAGAGGGUGCAAGCGUUAUUCGGAAUUACUGGGCGUAAAGCGCAUGUAGGCGGUUCGGUAAGUCUGGUGUGAAAUCCCCCGGCUCAAUCGGGGAAGUGCAUUGGAUACUGCCGGACUGGAGUAGAGGAGGGGUGAACGGAAUUCCUGGUGUAGAGGUGAAAUUCGUAGAUAUCAGGAGGAACAACUGCGGCGAAGGCGGUUCUCUGGACUCUUACUGACGCUGAGAUGCGAAAGCGUGGGGAGCAAAC